rnacentral:piRNA from 2 species
UCACGGAUUGCUUUCCAAGCUGCCUUGUUGC